rnacentral:tRNA from 1 species
AGAAAUUUAGGUUAAAUUAAACCAUGAGCCUUCAAAGCUCAAAUUGGAAGCUAAACCUUCUAAUUUCUG